GUGUCAGCAGCCGCGGUAAUACAGAGGGUGCAAGCGUUAAUCUGAAUUACUGGGCGUAAAGCGAGCGUAGGUGGCUUGAUAAGUCAGAUGUGAAAUCCCCGGGCUUAACCUGGGCACUGCAUCUGAUACUGUUGGGCUAGAGUAGGUGAGAGGGAGGUAGAAUUUCGGGUGUAGCGGUGAAAUGCGUAGAGAUCUGAAGGAAUACCGAUUGCGAAGGCAGCCUCCUGGCAUCAUACUGACACUGAGGUGCGAAAGCGUGGGUAGCAAACAGGAUUAGAUACCCUUGUAGUCC
rnacentral:rRNA from 1 species